GGUCUUAUGCAACGGACUGCCGUGAACCGUGUCAGGAUAGGGAUAUAGCAGCACUAAGCGGAUUUGUUCGUGUGCCAUGAGGU
rnacentral:SRP_RNA from 1 species